UGGCCCCUUGGUCAAGCGGUUAAGACACCGCCCUUUCACGGCGGUAACACGGGUUCGAAUCCCGUAGGGGUCAUC
rnacentral:tRNA from 8 species